AUUGACCAGUAAGUUGCUGGAAACCUGUGAUGGCGGCAUUCCAAAACAACUCAGAAAUGAAACAAAAUUUCCCCAUUGGGGAGCAGACUUUUCUCAUAAGUCAAGCAAUGUUCACAGUACAUAGCUAAACUUAUGAGAAGCCUAGUAGAAAAAACAAUUUAGCCAGGGAAAGCCCUGACGUGGCCCGAGGCUUAAUUGUCUGCGAGCCAGUAAGAUUAACCCUGCUGCAGUUGAAAAAAUUGUUCCUUCUCCAAAUAUGUUUGUUCACCUGAUCUGAGAGGCCUCUAGAACUCCAGGAACUUGUAUCAAGUUUGGAGGCAGGCAAAUAAUAACUCAAGUCUGAAAAUUUGGAUGCUAGGUAUGGGAGAUGGUGGGGUGAGGGUAAAUGUCUUCUGGAAAAUGGCAAGUAGUAUCUAUUGGAAAUUAGCUUGUAUAGGAAGGUGGCUUCCUGUGCAAGUAUCUGAAUUUCUAACAAAUUCUGAAGGAUUUCUCAUGCUGGUUCAUUUGCAGGUUAGUUACAUGGGCGUGCUGAUCAGGAAAGACUCUGGACCUGUUACUAAAUGGUCCUUUUACAUAAGCACAGUGUUUUACAUUACGUGGGGUUUGUAGUGAGGUUAUUCUUUGGGUGUUUGUUUUGUUUGUUUUCAAACAUUGUGUAUUUUUAUUCCUAAUACACUGUGAAAUACACUUGGCAAACAGGAACCAAGGUUUUCAUAGAAAUCAAUGACUCAAAAUGCCCAAAGAGAAGUGAGGAAGAGUGUUACAGUUACAGCAGCGUACAGAAAGCUGCUGUUGGAGCUGUCAGCAGUGAAUGUGAUCCUUGACUAUUAAUAGAAGCAGGGAGGUUAUCUUGCUUUUGAAUCCUGUUUCUGGUGCCUAUACCUGAAGAUGUGCAACAAAGAAUCUAGAAAGUAAUGCUAUGAUAGGGACCCAAGUUAAAUCUUCUUAAACAAAGCAGUAACUUGAUCACUAAGCAUAGCUGCACACUGAUAAUGGAAGAAAAUUGAGAUCUCUUCCACUUACUGGCAAAAGAAAAAAUAUUCAGUGGCUAGAUGUUGGUUUUGAGGCUGCUGCUAAGAAUUCAAACAACAAAAAGGCUUAUGCAGGCAGCUACAUCAUUAUCUAGUCUUAAUGGUUAAGGUAUGCUUUCUUCUAACUUUGAUAAAUUCUUGGGCUGGGGAAGGGUGAAGAUGAUCAAAUUAAGAUGACUGGAGGUAUUCAUAAUACGUGCAGUUCUGCAUUAAGCCAAUAGUAAUUAGUGCUUAGGCCUAGAAUUUAACCUGACUUCUCUGUAGAUGAUGUAGCCAGUUACUCUCAGAAGUACUUACUACUCACAUUCUUGUGAACCUGUGCUCAGACAUACCAGAAAGGUGUCAUUUCUAGAUUCCUGGCUGAUCGCUUGCUCAAGGCAAUGUAGAGCUCAACAAGGGGUAGGGAAGGAAUUUCCCCUGUCAAAUUCUGUCUUCCUCUGGAAUUUAGAGUGUAAUCUUCUGCUAAGGUCACUUAAGUGUGUUUCAUAAGUGAUUCCCUGAAGUUGCACUCAUUGUAGGUAUUCAUGGCAUCUUAGACUUCCCUUUCUUCCCAUUUUUUGUUUCCUUGGAUAUGCAUUCAUUUUACCUGAGGACUGAAAUGCCUUAAUUUUAGCUAAGGUUUUUGUAUUUGGUAGUGGAUAUAUGUAUCUCUUUGACUUAAAUCCUGUGAAACUGUACAGGAAUUGGACAGGUAUAGAAACAAGUUCAAUAGUCCUUUAAACAUAUGCAUAAACUUUAAAAUUAUUUUCUUUAGUGAUGUCACAACUUUAGUUUUAAAAAAAAACUUAUUGAAGGAAUGUAUAGGAUUUGAAUGAAUUAUAUUGCCUUCCUAAAAUCUCUUUUGAAUUAUGUUCAAUGUGUGUUGUGUACAUAGAGAAAGAGAGAUUUCAUACAACACAGUAUGGAAACAUCUUGCCUUCGAAGUAGCUAUAUUUCUUUUCUGGUUGUUGUCUUUCUGCUGGCCUACAGUGCUUUGCUGUCUCCUUGGUCAGCAUAUUUACACACGUGCCUUUCUAAUUUUUAUCAGCAUCUUCUCCAAACAAUCUGGUCCUUUUGUGGCAGUGCAGGUGUAGUCAGGUGUCUGCAUUGUCCAAAGCAAGAGGGGGGGAAAAAUAAAGGAGGGUAGAGAGGGGGGUUUAGGAGCCCUGCAAGCUUACAAAGCAGUUCUGAGUUGGGUAGGGCCCAAGAACUGGUAAUUCUCUUUGCUUGACUGCUGUAAGGCAACGUCCAGCACUAUUGGAGCUGCUCUUGUGUCACCCACGUAGAUGCCUCUAAGGACACAACCUUAGAUGCUAAGCAAAAGGAGACUUAUCCAGAACCUUGGCCUAUUAACCUCCAAAGCAGAGAGAGUGAUAGAGACAAAAGCACUUCUUGAAAGCAAGGAAAAAACAAGUGUUACAUUGCACUUCUUACAAGAAUAUUGUGCAGUGUUGCAGUUACCUUCUCCCCAUGUGAAUUUUUAAGCCAGGUCCUGUUUUGUGUUACUGGGAAGCAGGCCUAUCUUAGUGGUGACCCUAGAUAGCUCCUGAGUUCUUUGUAGUCCAAGGGACAUCUGACAAACAGCAGCUGCUCAAACUUGCUAUUGAAAUCACAGAUUACAUGUAUUUCAGUGAGCAGUCAUCCCAGUUGUUCUGCACGCUUUAGGAAGUUGCUCUACUCUGCUGAUUGCCAGCAUAGUGCUGAGAAAUAGAAGUAUGUUCUUGGUGUUCUCAUUUGCUUUUAGGAUAAACUUUAUCUACCUUUUGCUUGCCCACCUCAAAGGAAUGCUAUCGAAAUUAAGGACAGCUUGGCUGUGUGUUAAUGGAGUUUCCAAUUAGCCUCAGCCUCCUGAUCCAAUGAUCUUAGGCAAGGUUAGAAGAGUGUUCAAUGAAUUUUGAGAGGAAAAUAUUUCUCAGGCUAGAAAGAGCCUGUGGCAAUGUCUUAAACGCUUUAGUCUAUUGGACACCUAACUGUAGUAAAAAGCUGAUUCUUUUUUUUGUCAGUACUGAACCAGUGACCCAGUAGAGCAGUCAAGGAGAUACUGCAGUUCUUCUAUUGUGUAGAAAUAAAACUUAGGCUGUAGCCACUUCACAGUCUUAAAAAUCAUUCCCCCCCACCCCCUUUUUUUUUUUCCAGUGGAUAGGGAAUCUUACAUUCACAUUCCCUCAAAUUUGAGUUUGAUGGGGUUUUCAAGAAGUCUUUUAAGACUCUGAUUAAUAAAAGCAAUUGAUUGGAGUUUUUUAUGGGUAUCAGUGGUGACUACAAAGCUCCAAAGAAGAUAAAAUAAAUACUUGUGUGGGUUGGCUGAUUUAAAAUACCUUUGCUCAACAGUUUAAGUAUGUGACUUGCUGGCAGUCCAUCUUAGAGAUCCCUUCUCUGUUUACUAGAAGUACUAAAUUUAGGAAUGCUGUUAAUUUGAAAUUAAUAGCUGUCCAUGCUUAACACACAGCUUCUAACUACGGGGCAAAAACAACGAGUAGCGGUUGAACUAGAAGAGACUGUCUGUGAUAAAUAUAAACUGAAUGGUAUGUGGAUGGGUGGACUCUGGCAAAGAUGAUGGGUGAAUCUUCAGGGUACAGUUUCAUGCUUCAUUUAACACAGUCUAGGUGUGUGGUGUUGCUGAAAGGGGCUCUCUGCUGUUUAUUCCUGCCUCAGUCUUUGCUCUUUGUGUCAGAUCAUGAGUUUAUCCAGUUAAAACAGUUUCAUUUUGCUAGGCUGUUUUUUCAGCUGAAUUGGCAGGUUUGUCUUGGCUGACUGUGGAGCAACUCGAUUAACAGAGCCUGUACAAGGAAGGUGCUGGGGAAGAUGUAUCGUGUCCUACAAGUAAUAAUCAACUGUUGGACUGACUGACUAUGCAUCUGUGGUAUAUUUCUGUAUUUUACACAAGUCUGGAGGGAACAAUCUGUUCACAUACAUCUGAACUGCGGCAUUUCUGCAUGGACAGUUUGAGAGGGCAGAGAUCACUGCAGUAGUUACCAGCCAGCUGUCUGGCCUUCCCAUCUGCUGUGAGUCACGGCCCAUGAGUGAGGCAGCAGAAGAGAAGAAAUGCCCUUGUGGAGCAGUGGAUGAGGCCAAGCCUGCAGUGAGUUGUCAGUCUUUGCUCUGGAGUGGGUGAGGUGUGCUUGAAUAUGUCCUGAUUUGCCAGCAAUGUAUGUGGGCAGUUGCUAACAGUUGUGAGUGAUGACAGCUGUCUGACUCGCCUUGUUUCACAAAAUCCAGAAGUAUGUGGAUGUCAAGGUUCUGACUGCACAUUUUUUUAGUUAUACUGGUGUUAUUCCUACAUGAACAACUUUGAAAUUUUGGCUAAAGCCAGGCUUUUAUCACUUAAUCUGAAAUCCACUGGCACUAGUUUCAUGGGUAUGUAUUUGCAGAAAUUGGUCUGUGCAAAUGACAAUGUUCAAACUAGAUCAUUGUCCACUGAGUAAAGUGAAAAGCAACGUGGAUGGAGACCUCUUGGAGCUAAGUCACCCACUUCAGACAGAUAGGAAAUUCCAGGAGUUGUAAUAACUCACAAAAAAUGUUGUCUGACCUCUUCAGAAAGUCUCUUUCCCUCAUUUCAUGAGGGAGGAACAAAAGCUAUUCUAGUUAAUUAUGCUAAUUGUUGUAACUCAUAUAGUGAAGCCAUCCCAUUUUUUCGUAAGCAGUGUGAACUGAUCCUGUCUGCAAUGUACAAACUCUGAUAGUUUAUUUCCUUUGUGUCUGUAUGUCACCAGUGAAGAACUGAUGUGCAUUUUCAUACUUGCAGAGGAGAAGAUUUACCUGAUAGUCUUCUGUGUCCUGUGAGAGAGAGAGAUGCAGAACCUUUCCUCGUUUCGUCUGUUUGCAUGAUAGUGUGGACAAAGUCUUUGUGAGUUGGGUAGGAAUUUCUGAGAGGAUUAAUUCUGAGUGUAUCUGGGUAGUGUAACCCACAUGAUGGAUCCCCUGGAGAGAUUUGUAUUUCUGUUAGCAUGUGUACACUAGGUUAAGAACAAAAAUAUACUCUGAUUUUUAUUUUUGGGGGGAGUGGGGCAAUAUAGGUGAAACAUACAGAUAGCUUGAAGGCUUUAAGUUUAGUUGUCUUCCUGAUAUUUUGGCCUGACCCUAAGAAAAGCACCUAGUUAUUGUGUGUUGGUUUUCCCAUUUAAACAAAAAACCCAAAACCAACAAAACAAAACCCUAAUUCCUUAUGCUUUGCUGUUCAGAGUUUUAGAAAUUCAUUGGUCCUAUGGAAGUACAAAAUACUGUGCUGUUUUGUGGAUGGAUAUUUUUUUCUUUUUGUAUAGGAAAAAGGAGGUCCCAACCCAUGACUGUUGUGUUGCAAUACCUACCGUAGUUCAACUUGGCAAGAUAACAAAACGAGUGCAGAACUCGCAUGGCAAUAAUGCAUUUGAGAAACUAUUUUAAAAUGCCAUGCUGAUGAAUCAAUCUUUCUCCCUUUUUUUUUUUUUUUAAUGGAAACUUUUCUCAGCAAAAAAAGUGUGGCAGAUCAGGUACUCAUGUUCAGCUCUGUCCUUUAAUGAUAUGAGUGUACUAAAUGGCAGAUGGGAAUGUUGGUGAUUCACUGAAUAUAUUUAUGUACAUAUGUAAACACUACCUCACCAGAAAACAGCUUACCAAGAGGGAUAUGGUAGCUUAAAAUUUGUUUUUAGUGAAGCCCAUUCUGUAGUAUAAACAUAGUGAGCUCUUGCUGUGACAAGACAGAUGGGAGAGUCCUCUGUGGUGCCUGCUUAACCACCUGAAAUGUGCCUUUCUGCUUCUCUUGGGCUUUUUGCUUUCUGGGCACUACCCUUAUUGUUGUGGCUAAUAACAGCAUUUACAGGCUAAUAAUCUACGGCCAAGUCAGCCACUGUUUACCCAUGAUGUAAUGUAGUUUUUCUGAUUCAUGAGUUCUCAUCUAUGUCUGACCACUUAUCUUCUGCUGGCAGAGAUGAGAAUAUUCUUUGAUAUGAAAAGCUGCUGGAAGCUUGAUGCCCUCUUCCUGCUGUAAAUCUUAGACUGCUUCCAGCAGCCCCAAGGCAGCCCAGGGAGAAGUUGGCAUUGGCCACCUCAAAUACUCUGCUAUGCAAUCUGAAUGAGUUUUAAAAAUGCCGCUUUUAAUCUCUUUAGCUUUUACUUUCAGCUGCUUCUCCAUAAUCAUGAUAACCAUAAAUCAUUUUUUGCAUAAUAUCAUUCUUCAUUUUUAUUUGUAGUACUCAACUCCAGGAAGUGUGGCUUAAAUAAUAAUAAAAAAAAAGAUUAAAAAAUACCGAGAACCAAAUGUUCAGUAAAAUCUGUCCUUCCAACAGUGUUGUUAGACAAUUCAAGACUUUGAUUUGGCCUUCAAAUGCCUGGUCUUGCUGGGCUGUGCCUGACAUUUGGCCAUUCAAGGAGUAAAGGAACAGUAGACUAGGAACUUAAUAGAAGUUUUACAAGCCAAGUGUUUUCCACUCAAACCUGUAGAAAAGGAAGUGUGAGUGGGAGGUGGGAAGCACUUGAGUGAGACUUGCAAGUUGACAAAAGUUGAUUGCGAGUUAGCAAUUUAAAAAUGUAUCACUGUAAUUAUCACCUGUUUUAUUUCCUCAUCUCCGCCUUUUGGAAGAGGAAAAAAAACUCAACACCCUCUGAUUGUGCUCACAGAAAUGAUUACCACUAAUAAAGUUACAUAUUCAGUAAAUUAAAGUUUUGAAAUAUUGAGAUCACUGGGUAUGAAAACAUAACCCAUUUUAUCCUUUACCUUCAAGGAAAGACUCUGACCAGUUUUCUGAAGAAGAUACGGAGCCUGGGUUAGUCAUAGCAGUUUAGCUGUUUGAGCACUGAUUCAUUUGUACCCAUUCUUAGUACUAGUUGUGGUGUUGGUAAUGAGAAAUUGACGGCUGAAAUUACAGGACAGAUGGAAAGAGCCUUGUCCAGCAAGAGAGCAGAAAUCUACAGCUGUGCUGCCUGAGACAUAACUUGUUUGCCAGUGAUUUGGUUACUUGACAGUCUAAAUGGAUUCACAAGCCAUUCACAGGAAUCAAAUUGCAAAACGGACUGUAGACACAAGUUUCCUUCAAUGUAGGACAAAUCCUGUUAAUGCUGUAGUAGGGUUGACACAGGGCACAGGAUCUCUGCUAUAGUUCUGUAUUGGACUUCUGUUAAAAUGAGGUACAUAAUUCAUGCUCAGCAGAGGCAGUCGAGACCAUGACUCAUUUGUGCCACUCUAAAAUAUUAAAACUUUCAGGCCACUUCAAUUACAAGCCUGGCAGGACAUACAACCUGAUGCAGUGAAAUAUUUACCUGUGUUGUCCAGGCAAUGGCAAAGAAUCCAGUCAUUGCAAAGAAUGCUACUUGUGAUUAAUGAUGUAAUUAUUUAAAUUGUUUCUUUAAUCAUCUGGACUACCUAGGAGUAGAAGGAGCUACAGUUGAGUGAGCAUUCCACUUGCUAAAGUAUGUUGGAGAUGCAUGAAAGCUUUGUACCUUUUCUUAAAGAAUUUAAGUCUUCAAAGUAUUUGUGUGUAUGUGUGUGUAAGCAACUGCUACUCUGAAGGGGGGUGGAAGAUAAAAGAAAAAUUGGACAAAUUUGUACUUCUGUAAUAGCGAAGAUUAAAGAUGAAUUCUAAAAAUUUGAAAAGGACCUUGAGGUAGUUGAGUUUCUGGGGGGGAAGAGAUGUUAACAGUGCAUUUAAUAAAUACACUCAAAUAGCAUAUGUUAAGUAAUUAAACUUACUGAUUAAAGACUAAUUUAAGUGUACUUGAUGAUCAAGUCUAAUGUAACAAUUUAGAAUGAGGAAUAAAAAACAGGACUACUGAACAAAUUCCCUGCUUUAGGUCUUUGAAGCAAUAAUCAAUAAAUACAAAGCAAACAUCACGCCUGCAACGGAAUACUCAUAAUGUGGCUUGCAAAGAGCAUUAGCUGUGUUAGGGAGGCACACUGGAGAGAGGAUCCAGAAUAUCCUUUGAUAGUAUAGCUUCAUUGAAGGGACAAAGAGAAAGUUGACUUUUUCUUAAGUACUUCUGAAUUGCUUAAACUAGAAUCUUGUUCAUAAGCAUCCUUUUUAAUCUAGCUGGUAGCAAUAGCUGGAAUUUACGUGGUCCUGUGCUCGUUUUUUGAUUAUUUUUUUCUUAAUGACCAAUCCAAUGGCAUUGUAUCACAAAUUCCAAAUUUUAUUUUUUUGCAUUUAUGUAGGCAACUCUGUUGAACUCUGUUUGCAGACAACAGAUGUAGUUAGGAGUGGACUUAGCCUAGAACUGAAUGCAUGCAAAUGGCUCUGUAAGUGAAACUGUAGACUGGACUGAAAAAUCUGAGUAUUCCAGCUCAUGUUUCCCUGCAUAAUGAAGUCACUGACUAGUACAAUCAGAUUAUAUAAAAGUCUUCUCUGGUGUAUAUAUAAUACCUGGGUUCACAUGAACUGUUUUUAAUCAGUAAUUCCUAUUGUUUAUCUUGCAUGGUGAAAGGAUAUAAAUGAAUGUACAUCUGUGUACAUUGUGAUGACCUUUGUAGAAACCCUGCAGGAUUUUUAUAAUGAUUCAACUGAAAUUCACUGAGAACCAGAUCAGCUAUUACAGGCUUGGUGGGAUCCCAGCAACAUAGCUCACAGGAGGAAGAGAGCUCUGUGAACACGGGCACAGAGACCUAGAAAGAAAGGGUUAAUUAAGUAGAGAUUCUACUGAAAAGCAGUGGUAAUAUUUGAAAAAUACAGGCUUUCAACUAAAAUAGCAAAUAUAUUUUUUUUUUCCUGUGACACUUAAUACUUUCCUAUCAGAACAGAAUAUUAAUCCAUUGUAUUUUGUAAGGAUAUUUCAUUUGUCAUCUGGUUUUAAAGAUAGUGGCUAGAGACUGUGAGGUUUUGGCAGCUGCUGAUCUCUGGACUACAAGAUUGCAAGUCACUUUUUAUCUUUUUGUUUUGAUUAUGAAGUCAAGUAGUGGUGUUUUCUAAGGCCUUUGGUAAAUACUGGUGAAGAAUGACUGCUCUGGGUGUGUUGGUUCAAGUAGUGAUUUGCAAAUCUUCCUGACUUCCUGCAAUGGUUUAGGCUUCUCCAGAGUGUAUUAUGUAAUGUAUUUGAGCGACCUUAUAUAAACACUUGAUUAACUUUUUUCCCUACAAUCUAUUGCCUUCAUUCUUCAAAUUCACAAGUGCAUUUCUACUCAUUUGUGACUUUAUCCAGCUGCUAACUUGCAUCUUUUCAUCCAUCUCCUCAAGACAUAACCCAUAGCUUCUAACAGGUCAUCCUGUACAACAGUGUUUGCACCCAGUCCUUCCAAAUAUACCUAGUGAUUCUUUUUGUCAUUCUCUUAAAUUAUCUUUGCAAAAGUUGUGAGACUUGGGAAUUUAUGUCAGAGAGAAGGAAGAGCAGAGGGAGCUAGGAAAUAGUGUGUGUGUGUUGGGGUAACAGUAGGGAUCACCCUUGCUGCUUUACAGUGAGCAACAGCCUGUGCCUGACCAGGCUGUGUUAGGGCUGCUUUCUUCCUUGCUUACAUUUCACUGGGAAAAUUUAGUGGCCAGGAGCAAGUGUUAAUGUGGUUGGCAGCAUAAUGAAUAGCAGAGAUCUAAGUGCAUUUCCUCACCGGGAAUGUGAGCCUUUCUGCUAUAGAUGGGGACUCGCAUAACUUAUGCUUGCUUGCAGCUGUAGAUACUGCCUCUGCCAUCUAUGAGAGUGAAGCCCAGGGAAUGGUUUUGUGGCCUUAUCUAAUAACUGCUGUUAUUUUGGGGUUUUUCUUUGUUUGUUUGUAAUGUGUACCCCGUCCUUAGGGGAGAGAUGAUCAGUAUUUAAGGUAUGUAACAACAACUAUACUACCUCCACUCGGAGAUGGAAGUUACCACAAUAAGAGUAUAUGUUGUAGGGAGUGGAUUGUGUAAUGUAAUUUGCAUAUUCCAAAUUACUGGCCUCCAACCCAGCGUAAGAGAGCAAUAGCUGAUGUAGGACUAGAAGGUGUCGAGCCUCUGCUUCCGCUCCUCCCUGCCUUCAGGAAAAAAACUGGUUUAUAGCUGGGCAUGGUAGAUCCUCCUGCAGAUUCCCAUGUCCAAGACAUUGCUCUAGCUAGGGGUUGCUCCCUACUAAGCUAUCAGGUGGUAAUCUCAGGCACCAAGAUAGUCUGGAAUUAAAGUACUGCCCCCUAGUAUGUCCUGUUUCUUCACCACUCAAGCUUGACAAUCCUUACUAACAAGCUGUAACAAAUCCAAUACAAUUUGUUCUUCAACUGCUGGAUUUUAUUUUUGUGUUUAUCUUUAGUAGCUUUGCUUUAAUAAGGGUCUAACUCCAGUCAUCGCUGAGUAUUAACAAUGGAAAAGAGGAUGCUAGGCUGGUUUCGGGAGGCAAGAAUCCCCUGGAAUACACAAGCACAGAGAAAAGAACAUUGAAUAGUAAGUUAAAUGCCUAUGCCUACACUUUGCUGUAUCUAGCUAUUUCCCCACUAUAUUACUGGUUUGAUCCUUACUUACAGUUUGCCAGUCAAGAUGCACUUUAUGACAAGGUAACUUUUUACUUUUUUUUAUAUUCUUGCUCUGACUGGAACUUUCUGCUUCUCUGUAAUUUUUUGGCCUAAGAGGAUUGAAUUAAUGUCUUCUCUUGAGACAGAUGCUGCCAUUUAGAAAUGUUAUCUAAAAGACAUGCAAUUAAAUCUUGACCUCAAUUAAGUCAGUACAAAGUUCUCACAGCUUAGUGUGAUAAGCAGUUAUGGUUCUCUGAUACUGAAUUUGCUGUGAUGUAUUGUUUUACCACUCAGCAUUAACACAAGGUACAUCUUGUUUGAUAAUUUUUCAGAACCUCAACACAUCAGCCUGUUUCCUCUUUUCCUUUUCUUCUGCCUGCCCCCCAAUCUAAUUAUAGUGGCUUUCACCGCUGUCUGUCAGUCUUGAUGAUUAUCAGUGGAAGCAAGUGGAAAGACCUGAGUUAUACCAAUAAGCAGACUUCACUUAUCAACCUCACAACUUCAUUUAACUACCAUUUUUUAACCCUCAAAGCUGGGGAUGCAUCCCCACCUGAACAUCAUGGUGACUGUCCUGGGGUAAGUGUGCUGCAGGAACUAUGUCCUACUCAUAUAUGCCGUCAGACCAGGUUGUGCUCUUCUGCCUCCUCCUGCUCUGGGCUCUUUUGGUGCCAGCUUGCAUUCGAACCCUUGGGGCUGUAGAGCAGUAAGAGGUGAAAGCUGGGACUUCAGUGAAAGAAACUGCAACAUUUGAGACAGUGUGAGGCACUAGGCAUGAAACACUGGUAGGUUGGAUCAGCCACAGCCUGGGCCAAGUGGGAUCAACAAGGGUGUAUGUGUGUCCAAAGGAGCUCAGUGAAACUGGGACUAUUGAGGGCAGACUAUUUGUAUACAAGGGGGGGAAAGGGAUAAUAGUUUAGCAGAUCUUUGAAUGGGUUUUUUUCUUUUCCCCCUGCAUCACUUCUGUGUAGUAAAGGGAGUUUCUGUUGUGUUUUUAUGUUCUUUAAUGAUUUUUUUCCUAAAGGCAUAGUAGAUCAGUAAAUCUAAGCAAAAGUAGCAUUACAGUUAUGUCUUGAUCAUUUUGAAACCUUAGUUUUGUUUCCCUCUGCCUUUUUGUUAUGAGACUUAGGCUGAGCAAAUCAAGCUGUAUAAUCCCUCGUGGUCUGGCAGGAUUCAUCCAUGCCACUAGGAUUGCUUUUCUUAGCCACAGUUAACAAUGGUGUAAUGGCUUUUAUAACAUUUUAUUAAGUUGAAAUGCAUCAAUAGCACUAAUGAUAAACAAUUGUGGUAUUUUAGGAAGAACAAUUUCCAGCACUUAAUGCACCUGCCAACCUGCGGAGCUUUUGGGCAGCACUUGACUCUGUGGCAUGAAAAUAUGGAGUAUUUGUCCCUUACAAACAUGUCUGUGCUGUGACACAGACUUAAGGAAACUGGUCUUGUAUGUCUGUGCUUUUUUUGGAGGUGAGUGGGAGACAACUCCAAUAUUUAAUUACCUGCUCCAGCAAUCCUUGACAUCAGUUGAUCACCUAAUAUUACCAAUGUUAGUAUCUGUAUCUACCAAUUAAUAAGGACAUUAAAAUGUAUUUUUACAAUGAUCAGUAGUGACAUCCCUGUCAGUAUUUCCACAAGGCUGAAAAGACAUAGUCACAGGGGGGUAUUCACUCAAAAAGUACGUAAACUUCAGAGAAAUGGUUAAAAAGGCCACAAAUUGAGAGUUGCUUAUAUUAAUCUUUUGUCUUUUUUGCAUUUGUGAUAGUAAAAUGACAAUAUAUAAUGAAAGCUCAUGAAGCUCAGAGAUUGAGGAAUUGUUUCCAGAAAUCAGAAUUUAAAAAAAAAAAAAAAAAAAAUCAGAACCAAAAACCAGUUGUGAAACUUCUGAGCUUCAGCGUUAACAGUUAUUGACCAAAUGAAAAAAAUUUCUACUGCUUAGUUGUUUUGUUCUUUUUGUUUGCAGUAAUGGCACAUAUAUACAUGUAUGUGUUAGUUUAUAUUAGAAAGGAUUCUUCAAAGGCUCAGACUAGAUGACAGCAGGCGUCUCAAGAUCCAUAAAGGGUAUUUUGUUGUGGAUGCUUCCUAGGACUUGGGUUGUCCAAGUGAAGACCAGGAAAUGAGGAACAGGGGCGGGUCUUUGCUACUAGCUCAUUCAGCAAAAUGCUAAACCACAGCUUCCUAAGCUUUAAGGCAGUCACUCUGACAAAGAAUGCUUUGUAUGCCUGCUUCCCCAUGUACAAUUCCUUUUUGCAAUAUAAAUUGCCUAAUUCAUUAGUUGUCUAACAUAAUUUCUGCAGUCCCUCAUUUUGAUGCAUCAGAUUUCAGAAUAUUAUUCCAAAUUGUACAGUGUGAAUAAAAUUAUUAUGAGAUACCAAAUUGUAUAAAAAUUAAUUAUAAUUCAUGUUUUUAUCUUGGAAUAAUAUAUAAGCAAGGCUUCAUUUUGCUGUUGGGAUGUAAAAAUUAAAAUGUAACUUUAAUUAUGGCCUAAAAAUUGUCCUUUUCCUACCUGAGGAUUUUGGAGCAAAAUUUUGCUGAGAAUAAGUUCAAGUGUAUGCCCAGAGUUGUUCGCAUGAGAUU